rnacentral:rRNA from 1 species
UGGGGAAUCUUGCGCAAUGCGCGAAAGCGUGACGCAGCAACGCCGCGUGCGGGAAGACGGCCUUCGGGUUGUAAACCGCUUUCAGUUGGGACGAAGCUUUUGCGGUGAAUAGCCGUGGAGAGUGACGGUACCUUCAGAAGAAGCCCCGGCUAACUACGUGCCAGCAGCCGCGGUAAUACGUAGGGGGCAAGCGUUGUCCGGAAUCAUUGGGCGUAAAGCGCGUGUAGGCGGCUGACUAAGUCCGCUCUGAAAGCCCGGGGCUCAACCCCGGGAGGCGGGUGGAUACUGGUCAGCUCGAGUCCGGAAGAGGAGUGUGGAAUUCCUGGUGUAGCGGUGAAAUGCGCAGAUAUCAGGAGGAACACCAAUGGCGAAGGCAGCACUCUGGGACGGUACUGACGCUGAGACGCGAAAGCGUGGGGAGCAAACAG